rnacentral:lncRNA from 1 species
CUGAUGAGGGCAGAUAGGCAGUUCUCUGAGAAGCUUCUGCACAGAAGGAGGUGGUCAUAAAGCUGAGCCAUUCUAGAGAGCACAGGUGAGAGAAGCAAGAGAGCGGUGUGCAGAUGACCUGAGAGGACAUCGGGAGACCCACUAGGCCAUGAAAAAUGCCUGACACUGAUAUUCAAACUGUCAUCACUACUCGAUUCUGAAUUCAAGUGAAUGAGAUCUAAG